GCCUCAAAAAAAUUUUUUUUUUAUUCUAUAGAACUAAUAAGGAUAAAUAAAUCGGAUUGAUGAACAAGUGUUGCACUCGUCGAAAUUCAAAAGAUUUAUAAUAAACUUUAUAAUACCACUAUGCGGGCGCUAGUUGUAUGGAAUACAGAUGAGUUUUUUUAGUAGGAAAUUUAAAGCGGCCUUAAAAUAAAGUUAGUACUACUAUAAUAAAAUGGUUUAUUAACCUAGAAUAGGCUUUCAUUGGCUCAUUCCCAUUAAUCAAUGUUUAUCGGUGAACAUUUAAUGAAAACGAUACGGUACGAUUGAAGUUAAGCUUAAUCGACCAUGAUCAACAUGAAAGCUGAAUGCCAGUGGUGUAACAAAAAGUAUAAACGAAUUUAUAUAAAAUGUUUUGCAUGCCAACAUUUUUCUAAUGAGUAUCCUAACAUAUUAGUUGACUUACGCGAAUAUUGUUAGUGUAUUUUAUAGGAAACAACCUUUCUAACCAUUUCUUGCCAUACGACUAAGAGCAAUAGAUCAUCGUGAAGGAGAAGAAUGAGUAUGGAGACGUAUCUAAUUUUAAGUGUAGCUGUACAUAUUGUGGUAGUAGCUUCUGAUAUGGCUUCCAACCAAACGUGCUCAACUCCAGGUUGUAAGCGUGCAGCGUCGUGUGUUUGAAGUAAUAUGGACGCAAGUGUUGACCCAUGCGAUGACUUUUAUCAAUUCGCAUGUGGCAAAUUUAUUAAGCAAUCUGAAGGUUCAUACUUUCAAUUUACGGACAAAUUUGUUAAAGAACAGUUACGUGUAAUACUGGAAGAGAACGUCACAUCGCAAGAACCACGACCGUUCAGAGUACUUAAGAAGAUAUACCAAGCAUGCAUGAAUACAACCUCUAUUGAAUUAGAUGGAUUGACAACUAUAAAAUCAAUUAUAAAAGAUCUAGGCGGAUGGCCGGUGUUAAAAGGACGGAAGUGGAAUCAGAAGAAAUUUGAUUGGAAACAGUCUGUUUACAAGUUUCGUAAUUUCGGUUACAAUUUCAAUUAUUUCAUUACCGUUGGAACUAUGAGUUACAAAGAUACAGGAAAUGUUUCAUCGAAUAUGCUUUAUGUAAGUGUAACACAGUAACUCUCGCUGAUUCAGCUGUUCUUCAGAUAGGGCCAGCAGACGUACCUCGUGGCGCACCAAGUGACCUCAAACAGUACCUUAAUGAAAUGGUGCAAGUUGCCACUGUCUUAGGUGCUAAAAAAAGUGUGGCUAAAAGAGAGCUUAAUGAAUCAUUAGAAUUCGAGCUCAAUUUAAGUAUGAUGACAAGCCCCUUUCGAGAACAGAGAAACCUUAGUUUAGUGUACCAUCGCAUGUCUGUAUCAGAAUUACAACAAAAAGUUCCUAGUAUUCCUUGGUUGGAGUACUUGAAUUCAGUAUUAAACGUUACCAACAUUACCAUUAAAGCCUCUCACGUAAUUAUAUUGGUACAUCCUAGCUACUUUCCACAAUUUGAAAAAUUGCUUAAUAAUACUCCAAAAAGGUU